AAUAGUCCUGAAACAAGGAAGGUGUACUGUAAUGGUAUUCUAGGUAUUGCCCUCUUCAAUUGUUAAAUUUUAUAAUUCUGAAUACAAAUCAUUGUGAUAAUAUUGUGAUUCAUCAUUUUAUUUCCUUCCUAAAGUUUAUGAUUGUGAAUGACUAAAUGUAAAGACUUCCAUAUAGUAACUAUCAAGAGCAAAAACUUGCUUCUUAAUAGACAUCUUUGAAAAGUAUAAUAGUUUAAAGAUAAAAGCUCACUUUAAUGAAGUAAUGUUUACAUCUGAUUGCUUCCACUGUUGACUUUUAAAACUCCACUAUGUUUUUAGAAACAUAA
rnacentral:lncRNA from 1 species